AACGAGCGCUGGCGGCAGGCUUAACACAUGCAAGUCGAACGGGUGUAGCAAUACAUCAGUGGCAGACGGGUGAGUAACACGUGGGAACCUUCCUAGGGGUACGGAACAACUCAGGGAAACUUGAGCUAAUACCGUAUACGUCCGUGAGGAGAAAGAUUUAUCGCCCUUAGACGGGCCCGCGUCGGAUUAGCUAGUUGGUGGGGUAACGGCCUACCAAGGCGACGAUCCGUAGCUGAUCUUAGAGGAUGAUCAGCCACACUGGGACUGAGACACGGCCCAGACUCCUACGGGAGGCAGCAGUGGGGAAUCUUGGACAAUGGGCGCAAGCCUGAUCCAGCCAUGCCGCGUGAGUGAAGAAGGUCUUCGGAUUGUAAAGCUCUUUUGCCAGGGACGAUAAUGACGGUACCUGGAGAAUAAGCCCCGGCAAACUUCGUGCCAGCAGCCGCGGUAAU
rnacentral:rRNA from 1 species